CCUACGGGUGGCAGCAGUGGGGAAUAUUGCACAAUGGGGGAAACCCUGAUGCAGCGACGCCGCGUGAGUGAAGAAGUAUUUCGGUAUGUAAAGCUCUAUCAGCAGGGAAGAAAUAGCGACCUUUGGGUCGCCAGACGGUACCUGACUAAGAAGCCCCGGCUAACUACGUGCCAGCAGCCGCGGUAAUACGUAGGGGGCAAGCGUUAUCCGGAUUUACUGGGUGUAAAGGGAGCGUAGACGGCAGCACAAGUCUGAAGUGAAAUGCCGGGGCUUAACCCCGGAACUGCUUUGGAAACUGUGCAGCUAGAGUGCAGGAGAGGUAAGUGGAAUUCCGAGUGUAGCGGUGAAAUGCGUAGAUAUUAGGAGGAACACCAGUGGCGAAGGCGGCUUACUGGACUGUAACUGACGCUGAGGCACGAAGGCCAGGGGAGCGAAAGGGAUUAGAUACCCCUGUAGUC
rnacentral:rRNA from 1 species